GGCUUUGCAUAUUAUCUGCCAAAGAUCAUGUCAAAAGGCUCCAGAAACUUUUACAAUUAACAGUUGUAGCUGUUUAGCAAGUGGCUAUCAUUAGUAGCCUCUGUGUUCAGCUUACUUAAUUGGUUACAACCAAUUACCAGUAGGUUGUUCUCUUCUGUGCAAUUUGUCAUGGAGUCAAACAGCUUUUCCCUCACCCAUUUAAAAGUCUAAUGUGGAUUGUUGUGCUUGAUUGAUUAAUAGCUGCCUGGUAUUAAGGUAUUAAUCUGCAGCAGGCACUUGGUCCUGGAUUCAUGAGCAGGGUUUCUGCAAGGCUGGGUAUCCCAGGGUUGGUGUGACUCACUUCACAUGCAGAUCAGAGGAUUGGAAAGAUCAGACUCAACAGAUCUGGGCAGGGGAUGUAAAGAGACCAGACUGAUGCCUACAUGCUGUGCUCCUCCAUGCUUCAGACAGCCCGUCAGACAGAGGAGCAAAAGGGGACGUCAUUUUCCUCUCUAAUAUCUUCUGAGCCUCAUCAGAAAUUUCUCUGCUGGCUUGAGAAGGCUGUUAUGACCACAUAAGCCGCUUCCCAACAAUGACUAUUGGACCUCCCAGAUUUAUUUCUUGUAGGAAGCCUGAAAUUGAAGUUGAAAUUGCUUUAAGAGGAUGAUAUGCUUGCCUGAAGAUGCCUAGUUCCUAUCUGCCCAUUUGGAUUACUGAACAAGCCUUCGACCAUCCUGUGAAACACUGAUUUCUUCACAAAGCUGAAUUUUUACUGGUUUGAGUUUAACCAAGUAUUUAGCGUGUAAACCUAGAAAACCAUUUCCUUGUGACAGAAAAUUGCUGUGCAGCUAUUUGGUGGGACUCUGUGAUCUGGAAGUCUUUUUUUUCCAGGGAAUGCUGCACAGUAAUGAAUACCAAAUAGAAUUUAUUGAGUGCAGGUAAAUUUUUAAUGGGUAGCAUUUGUAUGCUGAACAUAUGUUGAAAUGAAUGCAUAAUUAAAAAAAAUUUGUUUAUGAAAGUUCACCUGAGAUUUCAACAGUAGCAAUUUAAACUGAACAUUGCUGUUCUUGAUGUGUGCCAAUUUGUCAAGUUUUCUGAACACAGAGUAAGAACAGCAAGGGAAGCUUGCUAUUCCUGCAGAAUACUAGUUGUAUUAACCUGUACUAGAACCAAUCAAUCUUUAAAGCAAAAUGAAGAUAAUUAUUCUUUCUCUGGAUACUGAAAUAAAAUUUUUAGCAAAUUCUACUUGGUUUAAAAA
rnacentral:lncRNA from 1 species